rnacentral:rRNA from 1 species
UACGGAGGGUGCGAGCGUUGUCCGGAAUCACUGGGCGUAAAGGGCGCGUAGGCGGCGCGGGUAGUCAUCGGUGAAAGUUCAGGGCUCAACUCUGAAUCGGCCGGUGAUACUCCCGUGCUCGAGCACUGUAGAGGCAGGUGGAAUUCCGGGUGUAGCGGUGGAAUGCGUAGAGAUCCGGAAGAACACCGGUGGCGAAGGCGGCCUGCUGGGCAGUAGCUGACGCUGAGGCGCGAAAGCCAGGGGAGCAAACGGG